GACGAACGCUGGCGGCGUGCCUAAUACAUGCAAGUCGAACGCAGUGGGGACGGGUGAGUAACACGUGGGUAACCUCCCAUCAGAGGGGAUAACACUUGGAAACAGGUGCUAAACCGAUACUGAUGGAUGGACCCGCGGUGCAUUAGCUAGUUGGUGAGGUAACGGCUCACCAAGGCCACGAUGCAUAGCGCACCGGAGGGGGUGAUCGGCCAGCCUGGAAGUGGGACAGGCCCCAGACUCCGUCGGGAGGCAGCAGUAGGGAAUCUUCGGCAAUGGACGAAGUUCUGACCGAGCAACGCCGCGUGAGUGAAGAAGUUUUGCGGAGCGUAAAACUCUGUUGUUAGAGAAGCGGUAUCUAACCAGAAAGCCACUGCUAACUACGGGCCAGCAGCCGCGUUAUUAC
rnacentral:rRNA from 1 species